GGGGGGAGACUGAAGGGAGACACACGCACUUACUGCACCGGUGCCCCGCGGUGGGGUCUCUCCUCCGGAGCGGCUCGACCCGGCUGCUGCGAUCGCGGCGGCGGCGAGUCACGGCGGCGCAGGGCUCAUCGCAGUGAAAUGAAAGAAAAUGCUCCCAGUUUAACUUCCUUCAGUCAGCUUUAAUUUGAGACGUUAAUAAACAGUGGAGGCACGAGGAGAGCGCAUCAGAGGAGAUGGUGCAUCGACUGCUGUGAGUAAGGAAGGCUUCCGAUGACCUCAGAAUCAUGAAGGGCUGGUGACCUUCUACAUCAUGAGCCAGUAUGCAAUAUGUCCACACCCACAGGAAGAGAAACAAAUGCAAGAAAAUAGCACAAUGGAGAUCAUCAUGCUGUCAGCAGACACAUAUGAAUCAUACUAGCCAUAGAAGAAGCCUGGAGAGAUUUCUGAAAAUGUCUGGCAGUAAGGGUGAUCUUGGGUUUUGAGACUGGAAGUACAAAGAUGGGGAGAAAGGAGAUUCUUACAAGUUUUAAUUCUGUGUAGUGUAAAAUAAAAGUUUUGAUUCAGUAUUAUAAUUCAUAACAGCAGUUGGAAUCUGUUUUGGUAGUGAGUGCAUUCUGGACAUGUAUUAACCGGAAUGCUGAGAAAUGCAGAUGAGUGACUGGCAACUUUGAGGCAAAGUCACAGUGGAACCAAGCAGAUUACUCCAAAUAAGCAUCAUAGUAAAUGGAAAUACAGUUGAAAAUACAGCUAAUCCAUAUGGAGCUCAAGAUAUCCAGACAGAAAAUGUAACACAAAAAUUAGCUGCAUAGCAUGUUUAUUGGAAAGAUUAAAAAGAAAAUUAGGUGAUAGUGAUGGUUUAUUUAAUAAGAAAACAGUAAUUAAUUUGUGCGUAGAACUAAAUGAACACAUUUAUUCAAAAUAUGCUGGUACUCAUACUUGGAAUAUAGCUCUUCAAAUUAAGAUUAGUUAUUAAGAUAAGAAAUAAAGAUGUUAAUGCAGGAAAGAUUGUCGUGAAUUAAGGUCAGUAUUUUUCUGUAUUUGUUUACAUUGGACAGCGUUAGAGUUCAGAUAUUGUACCCUAGUUGUGUUGGAAUUUCUGUGAUAUUAAAUGACUUUUCAUGCUAGUAAGCAUAUUUAAAUUUGAAUGCAUAUGUA